rnacentral:ncRNA from 1 species
CCCAAGAGCUCCCAUCGACGGGAAGGUUUGGCACCUCGAUGUCGGCUCUUCGCCACCUGGGGCUGUAGUAUGUUCCAAGGGUUGGGCUGUUCGCCCAUUAAAGUGGUACAUGAGCUGGGUUCAAAACAUCGUGAGACAGUUCGACCCAUAUCCGGUGUGGGCGUUAGAGCAUUGAGAGGACCUUUCCCUAGUACGAGAGGACCGGGAAGGACGCACAGUUGCUAACUCAAAACCAAAUCUUGAAAGAUUUUGUUGCAAUCAAUAUAGUAAAUCAAUAUAGAUUUAUAGUAAUAGUAAAUAAUAAGAAUAAGUAAUACAACAAUUUCGAACUCUAUUUAGAAUCAAACCACCGUACGGUAUUUUCUUUAAGUAUCUUGUAGGAUACUGUUGUUCCAGCCACAUUUCUCUUUUCGCUCUACUAUUAAAAGUGUGAUUCAUUCUGUUAAUCCCCCUAAGAGUUAAGGGGUCCCUUAGUUUGAUUCAUAUUCUGAGAAAAAACUUUAUUUCUUAAAAGGAUUUAAUCCUUUACCUCUCAACGAAAGAUUUGAGGAAUAAUAUACAUUCUCGUGAUUUGGAUCCAAGGGCCAAUUAAAUUAUAUUUAUAUAUAAAUAUAAUUUUUAAGAACACCAACGAUGAAAGCACUCUGCUGGGCCGACACUGACACUAAGAGACGAAAGCUAGGGGAGCGAAUGGGAUUAGAUACUCCAGUAGUCCUAGUCGUAAACGAUGGAUACUAGACGCUGGCGUAUCGACUGGUGUAGUGCUGUAGCUAACGCGUUAAGUAUCCCGCCUGGGGAGUACGUUCGCAAGAAUGAAACUCAAAGGAAUUGACAGGGGCUCGUACAAGCGGUGGAGCAUGUGGUUUAAUUCGAUGCAAAGCGAAAAACCUUACCAGGGCUUGACAUGCCGCGAAUCUUCUUUCCAGUAGCGACAACCGUUUUUUUGAUUGGUACUGCAGUAGCCUUUUGGUUGGGUAUUGGAGCAACAUUACCGAUUGAUUACCCUAACUUUAAGUCUUUU